rnacentral:tRNA from 1 species
GCCUUCGUUGCGUAAUUUGAAGCAUACUCGACCCGUAUUCGAGAGAACCAGGGUUCGAAUCUUGGCGAGGGCA